GCCCUCGGUGGCUCAGAUGGCUAGAGCGUCUGCCAUGUAAGCAGGGGAACCUGGGUUCGAGUCCCAGUCGGGGCA
rnacentral:tRNA from 1 species